rnacentral:lncRNA from 10 species
AGAGAGAGAAGGGCGCCUCAGAGGUGACUUUCAGCCUGCGAGCCUUCUUCCCGGGGCGCCAUAAACGCCCCCAAUUUCCCAGCUGCUAAAGGAAGAGGAAGAUCUUAGCAAAGCAAUGUCUCAAGAUGGUGCUUCUCAGUUCCAAGAAGUCAUUCGGCAAGAGCUAGAAUUAUCUGUGAAGAAGGAACUAGAAAAAAUACUCACCACAGCAUCAUCACAUGAAUUUGAGACACCGGGUUUUGCCAUAUUGCCGAGGCUGGUCUCAAACUCCUGAGCUCAAACGAUCAGCUGGCCUGAGCCUCCCAAAGUGCUGGGAUUACAGGCAUGCACCAACUACGCCCAGCCUGUAUUAGCUUUUAGGAUGUGAAAAAGUCUUGCUCCCUCCAUGUCCUAAUGGUCACACCAAAAAAGACCUGGAUGGAUUUCGGAAGCUAUUUCAUAGAUUUUUGCAAGAAAAGGGGCCUUCUGUGGAUUGGGGAAAAAUCCAGAGACCCCCUGAAGAUUCGGCAGGCUAACAAGAAGGGAGAUACAAGAUGAUUUUAGUAAAGAGUCCUUUACUAAGGACU